GAUGAACGCUGGCGGCGUGCCUAAUACAUGCAAGUCGAGCGAACAGAUGAGAAGCUUGCUUCUCUGAUGUUAGCGGCGGACGGGUGAGUAACACGUGGGUAACCUACCUAUAAGACUGGGAUAACUCCGGGAAACCGGGGCUAAUACCGGAUAAUAUUUUGAACCGCAUGGUUCAAUAGUGAAAGACGGUUUCGGCUGUCACUUAUAGAUGGACCCGCGCCGUAAUAGCUAGUCGGUAAGGUAACGGCUUACCAAGGCGACGAUACGUAGCCUACCUGGGAGGGUGAUCAGCCACACUGGAACUGAGACACGGUCCAGACUCCUACGGGAGGCAGCAGUAGGGAAUCUUCCGCAAUGGGCGAAAGCCUGACGGAGCAACGCCGCGUGAGUGAUGAAGGUCUUCGGAUCGUAAAACUCUGUUGUUAGGGAAGAACAAAUUUGUUAGUAACUGAACAAGUCUUGACGGUACCUAACCAGAAAGCCACGGCUAACUACGUGCCAGCCGCCGCAGUAA
rnacentral:rRNA from 1 species